rnacentral:rRNA from 1 species
UACGUAGGGUGCAAGCGUUAUCCGGAAUUAUUGGGCGUAAAGAGCUCGUAGGCGGUUUGUCACGUCUGCUGUGAAAACUGGAGGCUCAACCUCGGGCCUGCAGUGGGUACGGGCAGACUAGAGUGCGGUAGGGGAGAUUGGAAUUCCUGGUGUAGCGGUGGAAUGCGCAGAUAUCAGGAGGAACACCGAUGGCGAAGGCAGAUCUCUGGGCCGUAACUGACGCUGAGGAGCGAAAGCAUGGGGAGCGAACAGG